UUGACCUCGGAUUAGGUAGGAAUACCCGCUGAACUUAAGCAUAUCAAUAAGCGGAGGAA
rnacentral:rRNA from 3 species